ensembl:lncRNA
AUGCAGGCUGUGCACCACAAGAAUAUCAUUGAUAAGGCCAUCUCCACCCAAGUGCCACCUAAAGGAAUGGCUAAGCAGGUUAGAAAACUUACAGGCUUUAUCAAACCCUCCUCUCCCACAGAACAGGUCAGGGCAGCUGUGGAAAAAAACACACAACAGUGGAUGCUAAACAACUUGUGCAUCCUUCAAAACCACUAUCUGAAUCUAAUUGUAGAAUAUAAUCAUCCGCCCUUUAAUGAUACUGCUUUUAAGGUUGCAAUUAAUUGGGCCCAAAAACGAUACCGAACCAAGUUAGCCCACACCACAAUCCGAGCAGCUCGUUCCCUACUGGAGGAUGGCACUGAGUGGCCACAAGUCUCCGGUUCCUCAUCACUUUCCCCGGUGGAGCCACCCAGGGCGGAGGUUCCAGCAGAACUAGAUCUGGAAGACAGGGAGGAAUUCCCACCCCUACCUGAGACCAGAGGAAGUCCUCCUUCCCCCCUGCAGAGGGGGACAGAUGUGACAAGUAGAUUGUGUGGGACCCCGCAACCACAAAACACUGAACAGGAUGGAAUGACAAACCACCAAUCUACACCCAAGGAAAAAGAAGUAAGCCCUACUGCGUCUGUGGAUGAAAGAAGUGGCAAUCCUGGACCAUCCACACCCCUUCCCCCCUUAGCUACCUCCUCCAUUUUACAGAGCAACACUGUUAUGUCACCUCCUUCAGUCCCCUUGCUUCCACAGGUUCCACCUGGUCUCUCAGUCGUCGUCUCCCAACGCUCUCUUCAUUAUAGACCCAAUGAAAGGCAGACGAUAUCGUCACCUUCAUCAGGAGAAGAAUUCACGUCCAGGAUGACACCAUGCAGGGGAAGAAGAAACAGGAGUGAGGGCUAUACAGAAACAAAGAACAGAAACAAACAAAAACACACACAAAGCACCACAUUUCAUCAGUUUUCAGAAACUCCUUACUCUAAUGUAGUAGUGAGGGACUGUAAUCCAUCACUUGUUAUUACGCCUCUGGAAAAUGAGGGAAAUAACCCUUGUCCUUCUGUCCUCCCACAGCGAGAUGUAAGGCCGAGGCCGAGGAGCUAUCCUCACCCCACAUGUCCUAACCUGACUACGCCAACACAAGAGGUGGUGGGAAAACAAAUGAGGACAAAAGGGCCAGAAGUGUACAACUACACAGACCGUAAUGGUAGCUUAAGCCCGUCUGAUCCCACCAAAACCACCUCUAUGGGACAUGUGGAUGUAACUGCCUCGGCCUAUACACACGAUGUAGAUCAGGGAACUAGUGAGAGAGGGAACAUGCCAGUACCAAAUCCAGAAUCCAGAGCUUUAUGCUUACCAAACAUACACAAAGCCAGGAAGGGCAGAAAGAUCUUAGACUGGCACCUAAGAGGUAAGAAAGCCAUUUGGUUCCUAGGUGACUCUAAUCUCGCUCGCAUCCCACCUCAUAACAAGGACAACAUCCAGAUUGACAGCUAUCCUGGGGCUGCAUUUUAUCAUUUCCAACACCUCCUCGACAAAACUCCAGAGCACCCCGCUGUCAAACUGGUGGUCCUGUCAGUGGGAAUAAACAACAGGGAUCAGGACCCACACAAAACAUCCAUCAAGCAAUUACGCCAGAUAUACAGAAGGGCACUGUCUGUUUUUCCUAAUGCCAGGAUUGCAUUUCCUCUUAAAUAA